rnacentral:lncRNA from 1 species
GUUCUGAUUUUAUUUGGAUUCGGAAUGAUAGCCAAUAUUCUGGAAGUUGUAGCAGCGUCUCUCAAUGAUUUUGGCAAAGAAAAGCACGGAGGCGUCCAAAAAAAAAGGGGGGGGGGGUAUGUCAUUAUAAAAAUUAUAAAAAUGAAUAAUACACACAGAUUUGCCGCUGGUGUGCGUAUUUAUAUUUGGAAUGGCAAAUAUAUCAAUGACCUGCAACUUUAAGAAGGCAAUAAAUCAAUGGGUAGAAAUUCUUAUUUUAAUUAAUGGGUCGACCCAUACGUACAUGAUGUGCACCUACUGUAGACUAAAAUUGGUGUUCUAAUAUUUUU